rnacentral:rRNA from 1 species
GACGAACGCUGGCGGCGUGCCUAAUACAUGCAAGUAGAACGCUGAAGGAGGAGCUUGCUUCUCCGGAUGAGUUGCGAACGGGUGAGUAACGCGUAGGUAACCUGCCUGGUAGCGGGGGAUAACUAUUGGAAACGAUAGCUAAUACCGCAUAAGAGUAGAUGUUGCAUGACAUUUGCUUAAAAGGUGCAAUUGCAUCACUACCAGAUGGACCUGCGUUGUAUUAGCUAGUUGGUGGGGUAACGGCUCACCAAGGCGACGAUACAUAGCCGACCUGAGAGGGUGAUCGGCCACACUGGGACUGAGACACGGCCCAGCUCUCCUACGGGAGGCAGCAGUAGGGAAUCUUCGGCAAUGGACGGAAGUCUGACCGAGCAACGCCGCGUGAGUGAAGAAGGUUUUCGGAUCGUAAAGCUCUGUUGUAAGAGAAGAACGAGUGUGAGAGUGGAAAGUU